AUGUACCGGCGGUGCCGGUUUCACAUCACAAUGCGGAAACCGGAGCGCGAACGGGCCGCGUGUGCGAACAAAGCGCCGCGUUCCAGACACCCCCGAGCGGCGGCGUCAGCCCGGCCCCGCGCUGCCGUGGCGAUGAGCUCGGUCCGGUACCCCCGCACCCAUCGCACCCCGAUCCUCACCCCCCCCGCCCUCCUCCCCACUCCGCCCGGCGCCCCCGACGGCGCCCCCCCGGCACGGGCACCGCUCUGCGGAGUCCAGGGAGGGGGGAAGUUCCGCCCGGCCGGGCUCGUUCCGUGCGGAGCAGCCGCUCCCCUCGCGCUGCCCGUGGCUCCGCUCGGCGGGGCCGUGGCUCCGGGUGGGGCCGGCAGCAGCCCCGCGCCGCGCCCCCUCGUGCCGCCGCCCCCGGAGCGACCCGCGCGUCCCCGCCGGGCGGGCGGCCUCGGGGCCGGGGCUGCGGGCGGGGGCCGCUCCCGACCCGCGGCUACGGGUGGUGGCGGCGGCCCGGGCCCGGCGGGGCGGGGAGGGUCUCGAUGGCCGCCCCCGCUCCGGGCAGCGCCGCGCCCCGCAGCUUUGUUCCGCGGUGCCGGGAGCGGGGCCGGGCUCCGGGCAACUGCCGGCGGCCGGAGCGGGCCGGGGGGGCGGGCGCGGGGCCGCUCCGAGCCCGGAAAACUUGUCCGGGCGCGGCGGGGGGGACGCGGGGGCCACGGCGGCGAGAUAAAGGGCCCCGGCGCCGCCGCGCUCGUCGCUCCCGGCCGAGUUAGGAGGAGCUGUUUUGCAUCCCUUCACGUCAGCCUGCCUCAUUCCCUCCUUCCUUCCUUCCUGCGCGCCCAGCGCCGGGCCCACGGCCCGCAGCCGCCGUCACCCCGCGCCCUGCGGAGCCGCCGCGGGACGCACGGUGAGUCCCCGCCGCUCCCCGGGGCCGCAGCCCCCGCCCGGGGCCCCGCGCGUCGCCGCCCGCCCGGCCGCCUCCCCGCGCCGGGCCGGGAGAGAUGGCGGCGGGAGACACGGUGCGGGGCGGAGGCGGCGGCGGCGGCGCCCGGGUCCGCACGUGGGUCCGCCCGCCCCGCUCCGCAGCCCCAAGUUUCCCCACCGCAGCCUCGCAAAGUUUCUCCGCGGCCGCGGGGUCGAAGUUGCGGGUCGGGCCGGGCCGGGCUGCGGGGCGUGGGGUCGGGACCUGUUGCGGGGCAGCAGCCGGGUACGGGAACGCUCCCACGGCGGCACCGGGCCCCGAGCGCGGCGUUGGGGCGGGGGCUGCGGGGACGGUGCGGGGUACGGCGGGCGGAGCGAGGGGCGGGGGGGUCGCCGGGGUCGCGCUUUAAAUGGGGACGCGCUGCAGGGCGGGGAGCGACGCCAGAGGGGUCGGGGUCGUCCGCGCCGUCCGUGUGUCCCCGUCAUCCGGCCGGUACCCGCUGCUCACGCGGAGCUUCUCGUGCGAGGCGUGGGACGGCAGCGGGGCCACCCAGGUGCGAGGGAGCGCGGGGCGGCGGGGCCGGGCCGGGCGUAGGACGGAGCCGAACGGCCGCACCGGGCUCGGGGGUCGGGGAGCGUCCAGAGAGACGGGAAAGGCCCCGGGGCGGGGGGUGA
rnacentral:lncRNA from 1 species